UCGCAGAUUGCUAAAGUCCGCAAGUCUCGCCUAUUCGUCACUGAACAGCGGAUUUUAGCCACACUGUGCUAUAAAAUAUAUUUAUGCAAGGAAUGUAUUAAGCAGGGAAGGACGUCAGAGGAAUGAAUAAAAGGGCGAUACCUUUUGAGGCAAGCAAAAGCUCGAAGAACUGGAAGUUCGAGUUGGUUGAGUGUGUUGCGGUUGUUGAGUAGAGAGUCAAGAGAUUCGAGUGUGGCGUUGUUCUUGGUGGCAAAGGCUCUGAGGACGAAAUUGAGAGACAGCUUUUUGGGGUGAAGGUGAAGGGGGAGUUCGCAAGCUUCGGCGUAGACGAUGCGGUUGGGUGUGGAGCGGCGGAGUCGUAAUCAGGCUCCUAGGGCUCUGCGUUGAGCAACUUCUAGUUUAUUGCGGAGAGAUUUGUUGCGAGGGAGGAAGACGAAAGAACCGUAGUCAAGAGAACAAAGAACGAAAGCUUUGUAGAUUUGCAUAAGGGAUCGAGGGUGGCCUCCCCACCAGGUACCGCAUAGAGAACGAAUGAGAUUAAUGUGCGGGGUCUCUGAAGAAGAUAAUUGAAGUAUGGGGUCCAGGAGAGUUUGGAGUCGAAAAUGACUCCUAGAAGUUUGACUUGAGGCAAGGAGUUGAUGUUGGUAUCACCGAAAGAGAGGGAAGCGGUAGAAGUGUCUGUAUACUUCUUAGAAAAAAUAAUGAGUUGGGUUUUUUCGGGGGCUAUGGAGACACCAAGAGAAAGAAAGAAAGAAAGUAUGAGGUAAUGCGGUCGAGACUAUUUUGAAGGACAGAGAGACAGAAGUCAAGAUCAGUGGAAGAGACAAAAAGAGCAAUGUCAUCAGCAAAGCAAAGGUAUUUGCAGUUGGGGUCAAUGUGAUUUGGAAGUUUGUGGGUAUGAACGUUGUAGGCGAUGGGGCUGCUGCAGCAGACUUGGGGUAUGCCCUUCAGCGUUUCGAAGGGGCCCUGGAUUUCGCCUACAACGUUAAACCCCGUCAAAACGAUCAACGUUUAUUCAAUGCUGAUUUCAAUAUUGAUUUCAGUCUGAAAUCGGCGUUGAUUCAAUAUUGAAUCAACGUUGAAUCAACAUUGAAUUUGUCCGAAAACGCAACGUUGAUUCAGCGUUAAUUUCAGACUGAAUUCAGUGCUAGAUUUCAAAGUUCAAUCAUGGUUGAAAUAAAAUUGUAAAAAAAAACCGCCAAGACGUGGGCUCGAACCCAAGACUUUUUGAUUAGUAGACGAACGACUUGACCACUAAGACAUUUCGACACUUGCAAUGUAUAUAUUAUAAUGUAACAUACACGGAAACCUAUAGGUGGCAAAUAGUCUCGAAGCUGGGUACCUUCCCGAGAGCACAGAGAGGUCCAGUUGAGGGUCCAGUCCAGUAUUAUUAUAAAAAUCAUGAUAGAGUAGGUUAAUUUUCGGUUAUUCUCUAUAGGAUUCCGUUUAUGUGAAUCCACGUUGCGUUUUCGGACAAAUUCAAUGUUGAUUCAACGUUGAUUCAACGUGGAUUCAAUAUUGAAUGAACGCUGAUUUCAGACUGAAAUCAAUAUUGAAAUCAGCAUUGAAUCAACGUUGAUCGUUUUGACGGAGAAGGAAAUUGAUUUAGAAGAAGUGAUGUUAUAGAAAAAUUGGCAAAUUUGCCAUGGUAGACCGAGGUCUCGGAGAAUGUGGGCGAGGAUACCAGGGUCAACUCCAUCGAAGGCACUUUUGAUGCCAAGAAGAAGAGCUGCAGUGUAUGCGCUGUUAGCGAAGCUGGAAUAAAUAGAACAGGUGAAGAUGCUAAGAUUGCCGGAACAAGAUUUUUGUUACCGGAAACCGAAUUGGUAGCGAGGUAGGAUCUCAUUAUAUCUCUCGAGCCACCAAUUCAGUCUGUGGAGAACGAUCCUUUCAAAGACCUUAAGAAGGGAUUGAGCAAGGGAAAUGGGUCGAAAUUUGCCAGUGUUGCCUUUGGGAAUAAAAAAGACGAGAAACUCAUUCCAAGAAGAGGGAAAUUCACCCUUCAUGAAGAUUUUGUAGAAGAUGGAAAGAAGAUGAUCCAGGAUAUUUUCCGGAAGAUGCGAAAUAAGAAGAUUAUGAAUUUUGUCGAGAGCCGGGGCAGAGUUGGGUUUCUGGAGACAUUUGUCUAUAGCAACGCGAAGUUCGGAGUGUGUGAAGGGUUUACAGAAGAGCUCCAGAGUAAGAGGAGAGGGUGAGAAGUCAGAGGGAAAAUUGGGGUAGAAACAAGAUGGUGGUCAAAUUGUGGGAAUCAAUUCAUUCUGCUUCGUGAUGUUCGCGGUAUUGUUGCGAGCUUCAGAAGCGGCGAGGUUGCGAUGUUUAAGCCUCUUUAAUGAGCUUCAGGAACUGCACGAGUGACUUGCAUAUAUAGUAAUAAAAAAUUGCAAUAAUUGCGGAAUCAUUGGCAAUGUUUGCAAAUUAAAUAAAAAAAUUGUGGGUCCCUUAGUUUUUUAAUGAUAAAUAAAAAACUUUUUUCGUUGCGAGAAACCCAUAAUAUAUGGUUUUCUCAACAGAUACAUAUGCUGGAAUGGUAAAACCAACUUGAUUCGUUUGCAAAUUAAUUGCGGAUUGCAAAUAUAUAACUUUAUUUUCGUAAUUUGCUAUAUUUAUUUAAUUAUAAAUUAAUUUAAUUUUAAAAUUUAAUUUUUCCAAUGUGCAGAUUUUUGCUUCUCGCAUAGCCCGCGUAGGUGGAUCUGGUAUAGCACCGUCUGCUAGGACUCAAAACAAUGAAAAUAAAUAAAUGCAAGUUACUAAAUAUAAGUAUAGAUUCGGAGCAGGAUACUUAAGUUGUCAACGUUUGUUUCGGUGUUUUGCCAGUUCGCCAAUAUUAUUUUCGGACGCAGGAGAAUAUUAUAGAUAACUCAUUCGACAUGGGAGAGCACUCAUUUUAUGAAAAAGAGAGGUACAAUGAUAACUCUAUUCAGCAUCGACUGUUCGAAUCAAGACCAAAGUUCAAGUCUGUGCUGAUGAAGAGGUUGUUAGCUGAUGAGAGUGACGAUGAUAACGAUGAUCCAUACGGUCAAGUUCAAAUCAUUCAAACGAGAAGUUUCAUGAUUUUAAAGGUAAUUUUCAACCGCUUUCUGAGGAAACUGCUGACGAUUCCAAAACCAAACCCAGUUUAGUUGCUAAUAGUUAAAGUAGAUGUUGCAGUCAAGGAUGAAGCCGCUGUUGCUACUGUUAGUGUUACAAGCACUGUUCAAAAGGUUGAGGAAAGAUUCUUUGAGAAUUACAGAGUACAUGUAGUAAAAAAGAGCAAGGAAGAAAAGUUACUGUUGGACAAAGCUUCUGUUGAAUCAAAGCAUACUGCUGGAGCAAGCGUACUUAAGUUUUAAGAUCUAAAAAGUGUCACCAAAGUGAUUUUAGUGCCAAGCCUAAAUAUUCUCCUGACCUGAAGCGUCAUUCUUACAAUUCUGUUGCAAAUCAAGAGAGUCAUGAGCAUCAUCUGCAUCAUAGAGUUUCUUUUUCAAGUCUUGAUAAACAGCAUAGUAACGCAAUCAGUGACGAAAAAGCUACAAUGGCCUCGAUGGCAAACCAAAUGCGUACUACAAAAUCUUCCCAAUUGACAGCGAAUGCACCAAUGGUAGCAAUGGAUAUUCCAAUGGAGCAACCACAAGGAUCUGCUAGAUCAAAUCCUUGCUACUCGCCUAGAAAUACCUUUCAAACUUCUCAAAACAAGAUAGGGAGUGAAUUUGCUAAGAAUUCUAUACACGUCUGCUACUAUAUUUUCAUAUUGAUCACAACAACAACACAUGGCUCCAACCAAUGCAAAGUCAAAUGUCUUCAUCAACAGUAUUGCUCAAUUAUAAAGUUCUAGACAUAAAAUUUUAAGGUAUUUCACUGGAGAAAGUAAAAGUGUUCGCAGAUGACUAGCAGAAACAAUGUAUUCAGACCCAACAAUUUCAAGAGACAGGGGAAAUAUAGUCAAGCGAAAUUUACAUGAAAUUUUUAAAAGCGAAGGUUAUGCAAAAUUGUCAGUAUUUGAAUCAAGUUAAUUCCCAUAUAUAUUGAAUGCAAGCCGAAUAUGCAGUAUCAUAGUAAUGCUUAUAAUAAUAUGUAAGCCGCAAGAACAGCAGAUAAUUAUCAAGUCAAAGAAAGUCAGAGUGCACACCCCCCAAUUACAAGUCAAGCAGAGCAAAUGCAAACGAUUCAGUGCUCAAUUCCUCAACAGCUUAAUCUGUUGCCUUAAUUCAUGGAAUUCAAGACAAAAUUAAAUCAAGUGGCUCUAAUCAUACACGCAGAAAAUCAAUAACGAAGCAGCUGCAAAUAUCCUAUCAGGAAAAUGAAAGUUCUUAAGUAACAAAAUCGAUAUAUCUCUUUGCAUCGUUUGGUUUGGUGCUAGUGAAGCUUCAGCAGCUCCUUGAUUUCAUCCUUCUGGGCAGCAUCUAAGUAGCUUGUGCAAUCUGGGGUCAAGCUGUUUGGUUUUGCUACCUCAGCCAAUUCAAUGAAAAUGUAAUCCAUGAAAAGUUUGAAUUAGCUAAAAAAUAUAACAAGGUCCUUGAAGAUGAAGUAAAGAUGACUCCAGAACAGUUAGCGAUUAAGGGACAUAUGGAAUAGAAAGUAAAAAAUCUCAUGACAACAAAUAUUGUCCAAUGCUUGGGAGUAAUUUAUACCUUAGAAUAACUAUAUAAUUUGACGUGCUAUACAAAUUUACAACAAAAUAUAUAUUUCUAAUACCAGUUUGAAAAUUUUUCUUUUUUUAUUAUAAUCUAUUGAAAGCACCUGAAGAUGUGUAAAAAAAACUUAUAAUGUAUUCAAAAUAUUUUAGGAAUUUU
rnacentral:lncRNA from 1 species